rnacentral:lncRNA from 1 species
CAUCACUGAAUAUAAUUGGUUAAAGAAAAAAUUUCUGUCUUUUCCCAUAACUUAGUGCCAGGUCCUAGAAACACAUAACACAAAACAUAAGUCAUACAUAAUCAACACAAUCUUUAUAAUUGGUAAACUUUUUAAAUGAAAAUGUAAUCUAAUAACAAGAAAAUAACAGAAAGUGCAAUCUCUUUUCUUGCAUAUAAACCCAGGAAAUUAUAUCAAUAUGGCUUUCUAUUUGGGUAAAUAUUUUAAACACCGUGAAUGUUUCAAGAAAUUAACCUUUGGAGAUGUUGGUUUCUCAUGAGGUUGGCUUUGAAGGGGGCACCAUGGUUUCAGGUGGCAACAUCCAUAUUCCUGUAAAAAAAAAAAAGUAACUACGUUGUCAAAUACUUUGUGUUCAUGAAAAAUAAAAAGACGCAAACAAACUAUAAUUAUAUUCCAUGAUCGAAUUCCUAAUAUAAUAAAAAAUCAUAAUAAUAAUAAUAAUAAAUUAAUGCAGCAUAGGUACUUAAACCCAAAAGAAUUCAAACAUAACUCAAGAAUCUGAAAAUGGGAAACAAGUGGUAGAAUCAGACCGGAAUAAGACACCCUCUGUCCAUGGUGGCCAUCGCCGGCGCAGGAGCCAGUGAAAAGGUCACGAUUAGGGUGAAAUCAGAGAUGUGGGAAAACCAUGCAGAACAUCGUUCUUGAUUUCUCUGAUUUACUUCAAGAUACCGGAGGUUUGAUUUGCUGAGAUCAAACAAAAGAAUGCGUUGGGGCGUAUAAGUUGAUAUUGGGGAUGAAAGGCUUCCGUUUCAAGAAAGAAAGGCGGUAGAGGAGAAGUUAAGUGAAUCGUUCCAUCCAGAAGGGAAAAGAAGAUGGCAGAAAAGCAAAGUAGGUGGCGUGAGAUGUAUUAUUCAUCCGAUGGAAAUUGUAACUUGUAAGUAGGUAUAAUGUGGGUUUAUAGAAUGGACAACAAAUACAUGAAGAAAAAUGGGUUUAUAGAAUGUAUUUUGGAUCAAGAGGAGGAAAAGGAUGAAUAAGAAGGAGAACGAAGACCAGAGGAAAACCCUGGUAAUUUCAAGAAAACAAGUACUCCGAGGAACCACAUUAGAAAAGUAGAUACGAAAAGGAAGAAGAAUAUGAAGAGUUCAGGUGCCCUCUCUCUUGG